rnacentral:rRNA from 1 species
GACGAACGCUGGCGGCGUGCCUAAUACAUGCAAGUAGAACGCUGAAGGAGGAGCUUGCUUCUCUGGAUGAGUUGCGAACGGGUGAGUAACGCGUAGGUAACCUGCCUGGUAGCGGGGGAUAACUAUUGGAAACGAUAGCUAAUACCGCAUAAUAUUGAUUAUUGCAUGAUAGUCAAUUAAAAGGUGCAAUUGCAUCACUACCAGAUGGACCUGCGUUGUAUUAGCUAGUUGGUGGGGUAACGGCUCACCAAGGCGACGAUACAUAGCCGACCUGAGAGGGUGAUCGGCCACACUGGGACUGAGACACGGCCCAGACUCCUACGGGAGGCAGCAGUAGGGAAUCUUCGGCAAUGGCCGGAAGUCUGACCGAGCAACGCCGCGUGAGUGAAGAAGGUUUUCGGAUCGUAAAGCUCUGUUGUAAGAGAAGUACGAGUGUGAGAGUGGAAAGUUCACAACUGUGACGG